AUUGAACGCUGGCGGCAGGCCUAACACAUGCAAGUCGAACGAGUGGCGGACGGGUGAGUAAUGUCUGGGAAACUGCCCGAUGGAGGGGGAUAACGACUGGAAAAGGUCGCUAAUACCGCAUACCAUCGGAUGUGCCCAGAUGGGAUUAGAUAGUAGGGGUGGUAACGGCUCACAUAGGCGACGAUCCCUAGCUGGUCUGAGAGGAUGACCAGCCAAACUGGAACUGAGACACGGUCCAGACUCCUACGUGAGGCAGCAGUGGGGAAUAUUGCACAAUGGGCGGAAGCCUGAUGCAGCCAUGCCGCGUGUAUGAAGAAGGCCUUCGGGUUGUAAAGUACUUUCAGCGGGGAGGCGUUACCCGCAGAAGAAGCACCGGCUAACUCCGUGCCAGCAGCCGCGGUAAUAC
rnacentral:rRNA from 1 species